CGGGAGAGAGGGAGAGAAAUCACAAUCCGUAGCCUAUUUAAGCCUUUUUACGCAUAAAAGUCCACUUUCAGAUGGUGUGUUUUUGCAUUCUUUCAUUUUGUAUUCAAGAGAGGUUGGAUUAUUCGACGGGCAAACACAGGUAAAGUCGAGCUGAGCCAUAUAUCAGCUCUGAUGAUGUCUCCUCUGGGGCGCCAGAGAAGAGCAGCAUGCGGCCCUCUCAGCAUCACCGAAUCCCGCUCAUAAUUCAGGCAAUGGGCUUCUUUUUUUCCAGACCUUUGCCUUCCUUUUUAUUACUUGCAAGAAAUACUUCAUCUUCUCUCAAAUGUCCCCGCGCCGCGUGCAGAAAAUAAAUGAAGACAAAAAGAAAACAAACUAAAAUAAAAUUAAUCUGCUUGGGUG